GGACAAUGGGCGCAAGCCUGAUCCAGCCAUGCCGCGUGAGUGAUGAAGGCCUUAGGGUUGUAAAGCUCUUUUGUCCGGGACGAUAAUGACGGUACCGGAAGAAUAAGCCCCGGCUAACUUCGUGCCAGCAGCCGNGGUAAUACGAAGGGGGCUAGCGUUGCUCGGAAUCACUGGGCGUAAAGGGCGCGUAGGCGGCCGAUUAAGUCGGGGGUGAAAGCCUGUGGCUCAACCACAGAAUUGCCUUCGAUACUGGUUGGCUUGAGACCGGAAGAGGACAGCGGAACUGCGAGUGUAGAGGUGAAAUUCGUAGAUAUUCGCAAGAACACCAGUGGCGAAGGCGGCUGUCUGGUCCGGUUCUGACGCUGAGGCGCGAAAGCGUGGGGAGCAAACAGGAUUAGAUACCCUGGUAGUCCACGC
rnacentral:rRNA from 1 species